rnacentral:rRNA from 1 species
UCUUCUGGGAUUAGAUACCCUGUUAUUUGAAAUGUAAAUUAUUGACUUAGGUAGUAAUAGUUAUGUUCUUGAAACUUAAAAAAUUUGGCGGUAUUUUAGUCUAUUCAGAGGAACCUGUUCUGUAAUUGAUAUUCCACGUUGGACCUUACUUAAAUUUGUUUAGCAAUUUAUAUACCGUUGUUAUUAAAAUAUUUUUGAGAAUAAUAAUAUUUAAUAAUUUUGAUAAAAAUUUAUAUCAAAUCAAGGUGUAGUUUAUGUUUAAGUAGAAAUGGGUUACAAUAAAAUUAUUUUUUGGAUAUAAAUAUGAAAAGUUUAUUGAAAUUGGAUUUGAUUGUAAAAUUAUAAAGAUUAAUAAUUUGAUUUUAGCUCUAAAAUAUGUACAAAUCGCCCGUCACUCUCU